CACGUAGGCACCAAGCGUUGUCCGGAUUUAUUGGGCGUAAAGAGCUCGUAGGCGGUUCAGUAAGUCGGGUGUGAAAACUCUGGGCUCAACCCGGAGAGGCCACCUGAUACUGCUGUGACUUGAGUUCGGUAGGGGAGUGGGGAAUUUCUAGUGUAGCGGUGAAAUGCGCAGAUAUUAGAAGGAACACCGGUGGCGAAGGCGCCACUCUGGGCCGAAACUGACGCUGAGGAGCGAAAGCGUGGGUAGCAAACAGG
rnacentral:rRNA from 1 species